UGGGGAAUAUUGCACAAUGGGCGCAAGCCUGAUGCAGCAACGCCGCGUGAGGGACGACGGCCUUCGGGUUGUAAACCUCUUUUAGUAGGGAAGAAGCGAAAGUGACGGUACCUGCAGAAAAAGCACCGGCUAACUACGUGCCAGCAGCCGCGGUAAUACGUAGGGUGCGAGCGUUGUCCGGAAUUAUUGGGCGUAAAGAGCUCGUAGGCGGUCUGUCGCGUCUGCUGUGAAAACCCGAGGCUCAACCUCGGGCCCCGCAGUGGGUACGGGCAGACUAGAGUGCGGUAGGGGAGAAUGGAAUUCCUGGUGUAGCGGUGGAAUGCGCAGAUAUCAGGAGGAACACCGAUGGCGAAGGCAGUUCUCUGGGCCGUAACUGACGCUGAGGAGCGAAAGCGUGGGGAGCGAACAGGAUUAGAUACCCUGGUAGUCCACGCCGUAAACGUUGGGCGCUAGAUGUGGGGACCAUUCCACGGUUUCCGUGUCGCAGCUAACGCAUUAAGCGCCCCGCCU
rnacentral:rRNA from 1 species